CUGUCGAUCUUUUUCAUUCUUGUAAAUUCACAGAACAAAACCAAACACUUGAGCCUCAUGAUGUGUUCAACACGUGAUAAAGGACCUAUCGAAUUUCGUAAAGAUGAAAAUUUUCCUUUCGAAUGACUGUUUUUGCAUUCCAGCCUUCUCCAUUUCACCACCAGACUCAUCUUUACACCCGCUUCAUCAGUCUUAGACAAG